rnacentral:lncRNA from 1 species
UCCCAGCCGUGCAGGCGCAACCGCGCCUGCCGGAGGUGCGCCGGCGGCGCCGCGUAGUGCACGUCCAGCCCCCGCGACGCGAGCAGCAGAGACAGGUGCAUGAGCUGGUUCAGGUGGCCCUGCGCCGGGAAGGGCACCGCGACGACGGCCACCGAUUCCACCGUGCCAAUCGCCAUCGAGUGCUCUUGUCACUGGUUGCUUGUUUAUGCUUGUCUAUUUCUAGGAUUUUUAAUGCCCCGUAGCCUAUACACUUUUACAGGUUAUAUAUAGAGUUAUAGGCACACACGCACGAACAGUCGAAGACAAAUAUGUGGGGAAAAAGUUACAUCAGUAGCUUCCAAUUCCCAUUGCUGAUAUCGCGCAGAUCCAGAGCAUCAGAGAUUCGAGGGCUGACACGGACGCACAUCUGUUCCCGCCCCCUCGCGCUCAUCCGCCCUUCCUAGAAUGCUCGUCAGCAACAACGGCGCUUCCAGCCGCUGGCUCAAUCAUUGUCAGAGACUGCAGGAGCGUGGCGCGCUCGUCAUCAGUGACGACUAACGACGGCGUCGGCGGGCCGAUCGCUUGUAUCGCGGCCUCUCCAAAACGGUACGUACCGCCCUGUUGCGGCUCUGCGAUGAUAUCGUUUUGUAUACCAUUUUGGCAUGUGCUCUGUAUCUCGAUUCUCGAGGCAGAGAAGUUGUUGGUUGGUUCCAGGGAAUCUUACUGUUUAAAUUGUACUACGACUAAUGCACUGUUGUCAUGUGAUGUUUUAGUUCACUAAUAGUAUAUGCACUUUUGGUGCAUUAGUUAAACUUGCAGCAAAUUCAUGUGUGGAACUGUGGAUCGACGACCAGGGCGUCGCACAUCGCACAUCAGGCUGAUUGGAUACUACAGUACUACUCCCGUGCGAUGAGGCUCUUGGACCAGACCGGCCUCCUUCUUCGUUACGUACGUUACGCGAAGAUGCCAUCGUCCGGCAGUCGGCAGAGUCCCAGAGAUUACUACAUAGCCGUUCUCACCGUGUGGUUUGUUUCUUCCUCCCUCGCGCGCAUGCAGCAAACGCGAAGAAUCUACCGCACGGUCCGCACCGCGUUUAAUUUUCUGCAUGGUCGUCGCCGUCCUUGCUGCGGACCCUUGCCUCUGCGUCGUUGUCCAAAUUGGGUGCCACGAAAAAAAGGCCCAACUGGCUGAUCACCACUUGCCAAUUGUAGGUCGAGCGCCGGCAGGCAAGUUGCUCGACUGCUGCACUUGCCAACUUGCAUUUAUUGUACUUACUCCUAUCCUACAAAAUGUAUGUCGUUAUAGCAGUAGGGGUAAAACGAUUAUAUAAAACGAAAAACGAGAUAAGUUAUUAACGGAUGAUUAGGGUUCAAUUCAUUUUCUAACUGAAGAUUAUUACUGGUACGUAAAAUGAGAUAAGUUAUUAAUGGAUGAUUAAUUAAAUAUAAACUAUUAUAAAUUAUAAAAAAAUAUAUAAAUAUACCUAUUGUUUAACCGUUCAUUAAGAAUGUUAAUUGAAAAUAAGGAAAAGUCAAAACAGAGAUGUUGAAACGAACUCAACCUUACAAAAUGUAACAAAUGCUGUACUAUUUUAUGGGGGUUGCUAUAUGUUUUUUCGAUUUUUUUUUUGCGCUCUCCCCAUUUGCUGGCGCGUUUUCCUUUUCUCGAUCUUUUAAUCUUUAGCGAGUGUUUUUUUAUUUUUAAUGUAUUUUACAAUUUAGAUAUUUUAUCUCAACUUUCAAAACAUUCUAUUUAAAACUUUCAACUUAAAAUUCAAAACUUAAAUAAAUCUUGAGUUGAAAGUUUUUAAAUCUUAACUCGAAAGUUUAAAUUUUGAGUCAAAAAUUUUCAAAAUUUGACUUGAAAGUUCAAAUUUUGAGUUGAAAGUUUUAAAAAUUUGAGUUGAAAGUUUUAAAAAUAUGAAAUGUAAGUUUAUAUACAUGUAUGUAUGUAUGUGUGUGUAUUAGUAGUGCUAUUUGUAGUAUAGUAGUAGUACUACUACCACCACCACCUAGCAGCAGCAACAGCAAUGCUAGUAGUUCUAGCUGCGCGUGGGGCCCACUAGUAGCAGCAGAAGCGCUAGUAGGCGCUAGUAAUAACAGUAGUAAUCUCUUCAUGUUGUAAGACUUUCAAGCAUUGUUUAUAUUCAUUUAGAAGUUAUGUGUCUAGAUUUAUUAACAUCUAUAUGAAUAUGGGUAAUGCUAGAAAGUCUUACAGAGGAAGUAGUAGACUGGUACUCUAGUAGUAGUACUAGUAGACUAGUAGUAGUAGUAGGAGCGAACUGUUCAUGUGCCCACACCCUGCGCGACCAGUCGCGCAUUAGCCCCCCCCCGGAAAACUUGUCUGUCGGCCUGUACACGGGCCACGUGUGGAGGGGAGGAAAGGAAUAAGUUCACCAGCCGUCCCUUAAGCUUUAUGUCGAGUUUGUAUAACAUCCCUAAUCCUUAAUACUAGAAAUUUUCACUCCUAAACUAUAUAAAACCGUGCAAUUUAUAUCUUAUAGCAGUACUGAUCUCUAGUUUCACUUACGUGGCAUCCUAGUAACAAAAAAAAAAAUUAUAGGACCCAUAUGUAAGAGAGAAGAAGAAAAUGUAGGGUCCACAUCUCUUAUUUUUUCUCUUUUCUCUUUUCUUUUCUACUCUCUCUUAUCUUCUUCAGCGAGCCUGGGAGGCCGUCGGUGGCAAAGGGGGGAGAGGUGGUUCAACGGUUCUGGGAGAGAGGGGGAGGUGUCCGGUGAGCCCGUCCGAGCUCUGCCACCGCCUUGAGCUCCAUGCGAAGGGAGGAGGGAACGGGGUAGAUGUAGAGAUUGACGAAAAUCUUGGCAUGGUAGACGCUGGACAGGGUGGCAGGUGAGGAUGACAUGUGGGCCCGCAUAUUUUGUUUUAAUUUUUUAGUUUCUAGUUUUGCUCCUAAUGCCACAUCAGCCACUGCGGACUUACCAUGCAUCGAGGGACCUUGUUUGAAUGAUUUUGAAAGUUGGGGGCCUCGUUUGCAUGAUUCAUGGACGAUUUUGAAACUCAACGACAAAGCGAGAGACCUCGAGUGAACUUUUUCUUUUCACCAUGGUAGAGCAAUGUGAGCCCAUUAGAAUAUGCUGGGCCUGUUGGCCCGUCCGGCAUACAUCUAAGCACCUGUAGGUUUUUGUUUAGAAAAAGAAAAAGAUAAGACCAAAUAUUUCGUUUCAAUCACCUUAUAUCAAAUUUUAAAUUGUUAAAAUCCCCUCAUAGCACUUGAUUGUCUGAAGAUGAUUUGAAUUUCCAUACAAUGGAAUCAGUAUUUCAGAAAUGGCUACUGCAUACAGAAUUUGAAUCCGGGAAAUGCUUAUUUGAGAAUGGAGGGAGUGGUACACAUAUUUUCCUACUUAGGCCAUUUUUUAAAAUUUGAUAUGUUUCGACGUAAGAUUAAUAUUUAUAGCAUAUCCGACCACUCGAAGAAUCACAGGAUAUUCCUGCUUCAUCUUGUGAUGUAGCCAACGAAGUCAUCCAGGUCUUUCCGCGAGGACCCGCCGUCUGCCACGGACGCGCGGACGACUUCGCCGAGCUCCAUUGCCCGCCGCCGUAUUGCCAUCCCUUUCUCAGGCAGCAUCGCCUCUUCGAUGACCUCUUGGAUGGCCUCCGCCGGGACCACCUCGCUGUGCUUCUCCAAUGGUCUCACGAGCAGACCAGCCUUGAGGUAUUUGCACACCAGCUCUGCGUCCCAUGGCUGGUCGGAGUGCAUGGGCCACGCAAGAAUCGGCUUCCCAUGGCUCAGGCUCUCCAUCGUCGAGUUCCAGCCACAGUGGCUCAUGAACGCCGCAGUGGCGCCGUGCGCGAGGAUCUCCAGCUGCGGCGCCCACCCGGUGAUCACCAGCCCCACUCCCUCGGUUUCUGCGGUGAACCGGGACAGCAGCUCCGCGUGCCGGCUCUCGCCGGAGUCGGCGAAUAUGUCGGCGCGGUCGGCGUCGCGAAGCACCCAGAUGAACCUCUGCUUGCUGCCCUUCAGCGCCGCGGCGAGCUCCGCGACUUGAUCGCCACGGAGGGACGACGUUGUGCCGAAUGACACGUAGAGGACGGACGCCGCCGGCUGCUUGUCGAGCCAGUCCAUGCACUCGUGCCGCGUCUGGCCUGGCGUCCGGGCGGUCGCGUCGAGCAGUGGGUUCAGUGGACCGACCGCGAAAAGCUUCAUCUCUUUGAACAUCGGGUGCGCGGCGAUCUCGUCGAUGAACUCGGCCUCGAUCGCCCGGGACGUGUUCAUGAGCAUGCCGGAGCUGGUCGCGUUCUCUUCGUCCUGCUCUUCCCGGCUGAUGAACUCCACGAAUUCCUUUGGCAUGCAGGCCUCCACGGGGUGGAACUUGAGGCCGUGCUCGCGUACGAGCCGGUUCUCGGGGUCCAACCACCCGAUGUUGUACGACAUGGCCACGCACUGCAGCCCGAACGCCUCGCCGUUCGGCAGACGCGCCGCCUGGGCGGCGGCGAAGGAGUUCAACCGGUCGUACACGACAACCACGCGGCUAUAGCUGGCCGAGAUCCUCUCGAGCAGCGCGGCGAACGGGGCGCGCGCCGCGACGGCGAAGCUCUGGAUCAUGGGCAUCAUGUGGGACGGGAACGGCGGGGCGGUCGGGUCGGGCGGCGGGGACUCGUAGGCGGGGACGUCGAGGUCGUGGAAGCGGAUGGAGCGGAGCGCGUCGGGGUCCCAGCCGUGCAGGCGCGACCGCGCCUGCCGGAGGUGCGCCGGCGGCGCCGCGUAGUGCACGUCCAGCCCACGCGACGCGAGCAGCAGGGACAGGUGCAUGAGCUGGUUCAGGUGGCCCUGCGCCGGGAAGGGCACCGCGACAACGGCCACGGAUUCCACCGAGCCAAUCGCCAUUGAGCGCUUAUGUCGUCACUGAUAUAU